CCUACGGGAGGCUGCAGUGGGGAAUAUUGGACAAUGGGGGGAACGCUGAUCCAGCGACGCCGCGUGAGUGAAGAAGUAUUUCGGUAUGUAAAGCUCUAUCAGCAGGGAAGAAAAUGACGGUACCUGACUAAGCAGCCCCGGCUAACUACGUGCCAGCAGCCGCGGUAAUACGUAGGGGGCAAGCGUUAUCCGGAUUUACUGGGUGUAAAGGGAGCGUAGACGGUGCAGCAAGUCUGAUGUGAAAGGUGGGGGCCCAAACCCGGGACCGCAUUGGAAACUGUGGAACUGGAGUACAGGAGAGGUACGCGGAAUGCGUAGUGUAGCGGUGAAAUGCGUAGAUAUCAGGAGGAACACCAGUGGCGAAGGCAGCGUACUGGCGUGUAACUGACGUUGAGGCACGAAAGCGUGGGGAGCGAACAGGAUUAGAUACCCGGGUAGUC
rnacentral:rRNA from 1 species